GAUGAAGAACGCAGCGAAAUGCGAUAAGUAAUGCGAAUUGCAGAAUUUCCGUGAGUCAUCGAAUCUUUGAACGUACAUUGCGCCCACUGGUAUUCCGGUGGGCAUGCCUGUUCGAGCGUCAUUAUCCCCCCUCAAACCCCGUGUUUGGUGUUAGACCCAAGUUGUGUGAACAACUGGUCUCAAAGACAAUGACGGCGUCCGUGGGACCCUCGGUGCAACGAGCUUUUAGGAGCACGCUCUGAGUUUCAAGGACCCUCCGGGCCGGUCUCCUAUUUAUUAUCAAGGUUGACCUCGGAUCAGGUAGGAAUACCCGCUGAACUUAAGCAUAUCAAUAAGCGGAGGA
rnacentral:misc_RNA from 1 species